rnacentral:lncRNA from 1 species
AUUAAAUAUCUUACAGAAAACAAAGGAAAUUGUAACGUCUUAUUUACCAUCAUUAAGAGAAACCUGAAGGCCAAUUACUCAUUGAAUGGCAGGCAACACAAUUACAUUAUUGUAUAGAAUCCUCAGGACUGUAUUAAAAAUUUAUGAGAAGGAGUUUACACAGGUCAGCCUAUAAAACUACUCCAUAAUUUCUAUCUGUAAAUUGAAAUAGAAAAGAAAUGAUUGAAUUAAAUAUGAUAAUGAUAAUAGUAAAUUUCAUGUCUAAGUGUGCUAAACUAGCUGGCCUUUCCUAUUCUUGAAUAAAAUUAUUCUGGUUGCCAUAAUGCAUCCCGAAGCUUACCUAGAUGAGGAGAAAUUCGAAGUAUUCCAACAUCUGCCCUCAUGAAUAGAUCAAGCCUUGGGGGAAACCAGUGAUCUCUUGGCAACGGGACCAGAAGGUGGCAAGAAGAAAAGUUUAAGAAUUUCAAGUGGCUUGAUUGGACUCUUCUUCAUGGUCGCUGAGUCAAGGACCUUCUCUUCUAGUGAAUUUAAGGGUUUUGUGGAACACUAGUCUUUCUUUAUGAACUCUGUCCUCUUUCUCAUACAAUUUAUCUUUUCCACAUAUGGAUGGAAUAAAACUGCAGAAAAUAUAAUGAAAUGGAUAACCAUAUAUUUUUUAAAAUAGAAAUUUUUGAGUAUUGACAUUCAAGGUUUUAAUUCUAGACUUAAAAAUACAUUUUAUUUACACACUCAUCAGUUAAUGGAUGCUUGAAUUAUUUUCACUUUCAGUCUAUUAUGAAUAAUGCUGCUAUGAACAUUAAUGUAUAAGUAUUUGUGUGAACAAAUAGAACAGACAUGGUCAGUU